rnacentral:rRNA from 1 species
GACGAACGCUGGCGGCGUGCUUAACACAUGCAAGUCGAACGGAAAGGCCCUGCUUUUGUGGGGUGCUCGAGUGGCGAACGGGUGAGUAACACGUGAGUAACCUGCCCUUGACUUUGGGAUAACUUCAGGAAACUGGGGCUAAUACCGGAUAGGAGCUCCUGCUGCAUGGUGGGGGUUGGAAAGUUUCGGCGGUUGGGGAUGGACUCGCGGCUUAUCAGCUUGUUGGUGGGGUAGUGGCUUACCAAGGCUUUGACGGGUAGCCGGCCUGAGAGGGUGACCGGCCACAUUGGGACUGAGAUACGGCUCAGACUCCUACGGGAGGCAGCAGUGGGGAAUAUUGCACAAUGGGCGGAAGCCUGAUGCAGCAACGCCGCGUGCGGGAUGACGGCCUUCGGGUUGUAAACCGCUUUCGCCUGUGACGAAGCGUGAGUGACGGUAAUGGGGAAAGAAGCACCGGCUAACUACGU